rnacentral:rRNA from 1 species
UACGGAGGGAGCUAGCGUUGUUCGGAAUUACUGGGCGUAAAGCGCACGUAGGCGGCUUUGUAAGUUAGAGGUGAAAGCCCGGGGCUCAACCCCGGAAUUGCCUUUAAGACUGCAUCGCUUGAAUCCGGGAGAGGUGAGUGGAAUUCCGAGUGUAGAGGUGAAAUUCGUAGAUAUUCGGAAGAACACCAGUGGCGAAGGCGACUUACUGGACACAUAUUGACGCUGAGGUGCGAAAGCGUGGGGAGCAAACAGG